ACACUCCUACGGGAGGCAGCAGUGGGGAAUAUUGGACAAUGGGCGCAAGCCUGAUCCAGCCAUGCCGCGUGAGUGAUGAAGGCCCUAGGGUUGUAAAGCUCUUUCACCGGUGAAGAUAAUGACGGUAACCGGAGAAGAAGCCCCGGCUAACUUCGUGCCAGCAGCCGCGGUAAUACGAAGGGGGCUAGCGUUGUUCGGAUUUACUGGGCGUAAAGCGCACGUAGGCGGACUAUUAAGUCAGGGGUGAAAUCCCGGGGCUCAACCCCGGAACUGCCUUUGAUACUGGUAGUCUUGAGUUCGAGAGAGGUGAGUGGAAUUCCGAGUGUAGAGGUGAAAUUCGUAGAUAUUCGGAGGAACACCAGUGGCGAAGGCGGCUCACUGGCUCGAUACUGACGCUGAGGUGCGAAAGCGUGGGGAGCAAACAGGAUUAGAUACCCUAGUAGUUCCAUG
rnacentral:rRNA from 1 species